rnacentral:tmRNA from 1 species
GGGGGUGUACUGGUUUCGACGGGGUCGUUGAGGCCGGAGAAGCGGGUAGAGGAUCCUCGUCGGCCUCUCAAAAAAACGAGGAAAACAAUAAUUGCUAAUAAAACAGCACUCGUAGCUGCGUAAGUAAGCUACCGUCAGGCCAUUCGAUCUGCUGAGUGGAUAACUGGCGUCAGAUAGCAGACCUCACCUGCGGGCAGGUUAAGCGGGGAAACUGAUCAGAAUAAGCUUUGCCUCUGAUUUGUAUUUAUGAAGCUACCGGACUGUACAGCCUGUCAGUAGGCUAAGCAGAAGGGGAAUACUCUAAAUGCUGACUGCACCCGGAGAUGCUCUGGCGGAUAGGAUUUCGGACAGGGGUUCGACUCCCCUCACCUCCACCA